rnacentral:tRNA from 1 species
GGGGCUGGGGCUCAGUGGUAGAGAGCUUGUCUAACAUGCAUGAGGCCCUGGGUUCCAUUCUCAGCAGAACCC